CAGCAUAUAUCUUCCGAAGACAAGAAUGGUCCCUUCCAUUACAAUGAAUUAAAAAUACAGAGAAAUUAACUUUGACUUGAUAGGGCUAUCUAAUCUACAGGCCGUAUUCAGAUUUCACCAGUUGCCAUAGUAAAUGUCUUCACAUCGGUUUUCCCCCUGAUCCGGAAUGCAGUCCAGGACCCUGUGUUGCAUUGAAUUGUCAUGUCUCUUUAAGCUCCUUCAGUCUGGAGCACUUCGUCCCACUUUCCUGGUCUUCCACAACAUUGGCACUUUUGAAGACUUCAGGCCAGUUGUCUUUCAGUACGAAUUAGAUUCAAGUUAUGCAUUUCGGGCAGAGAUUCAAGAUGAAUGGUCUUGCGAUGGCUGUGGCUGAGGUUGCGGUGGUUGCUGCUGUUCCAUAACCCCAGGUGUCGUCCGGUGUCUGGGGCGUAAAUACCUCGAAUCCGGCCGCAACCGACCACCUCUCUGACCGCUCACGAAGGCUGCGUUUGUCGGUCCACCUUUAAGUACAGCUGCGUUCCAAAUCAUGCCUUCCGUUGGCUGAACCUCCCCGCAUAAACCAAAAUGUUCGGUGACAUGAUAUUUUCGCAGACUACGGUCAACAUAAUCGGCGGAAAUAAAUGCACUAAGCAACACCUCUUGGGAGCCGUCUAUUCCCAUUGUGGGCCAGCUUCAAAUCCGAAGUGGAGUGAUCAGCCCAAAUGUCCGCAGUUCGGUGGCAUGACGAAAAGAAAAUACUUAUUCAACACGAGUGAAUUUCCUUAAGCAUUGUGAAAAGAUUGCUGUCAACAAGCUGUAUCUCAAGCCACUUUAACUUCUAAAAUCCUGCUCCCGAUUUAGAGCAGCUGCCCUGGGAAAUGGCAUCCAUACGAUGUCCAAAGAGACAUCCCUGCCUCUUAACUAAAUAAAAACCGAAACAAGCAUUCUCGGCUGGUUAUAGAGUAAAACGUGACCUGCGUUCCAUCCGUAAAGAGA